AGGCAUUUGGAGCUAAAAUAGUGGCUGUACCGGUGUACCCCCCUUGGAACUGAUCCUUUGCUUGAUGAAAUAACAAUGAAAUAUGGUAGUGCCACUACCAUAACAUGAAGUUUACAGGUUAUUCUGGCAUAUAACAAGCCACAAUUGUCCAAAUAAGAAAUUGCAGAGUAGAUGUAGAUUGGUGAAAUGAUUGUCAAGUUAUAAGCAAGGAAAGUUGCUUGCAUAGAAUUAUGA
rnacentral:misc_RNA from 1 species